rnacentral:rRNA from 1 species
GACGUAGGGCGCGAGCGUUGUCCGGAUUUACUGGGCGUAAAGCGUGCGUAGACGGUUAUGUAAGUCAGAUGUGAAAGCCCCGGGCUUAACCUGGGAAUGGCAUUUGAGACUGCAUAGCUAGGGUGCGGAAGAGGGAAGCGGAAUUUCCGGUGUAGCGGUGAAAUGCGUAGAUAUCGGAAGGAACACCAGUGGCGAAAGCGGCUUCCUGGUCCAGCACCGACGUUCAGGCACGAAAGCGUGGGGAGCAAACAGG